rnacentral:rRNA from 1 species
CCUACGGGAGGCAGCAGUAGGGAAUCUUCCACAAUGGGCGAAAGCCUGAUGGAGCAACGCCGCGUGGGUGAAGAAGGUCUUCGGAUCGUAAAACCCUGUUGUUAGAGAAGAAAGUGCGUGAGAGUAACUGUUCACGUUUCGACGGUAUCUAACCAGAACGCCACGGCUAACUACGUGCCAGCAGCCGCGGUAAUACGUAGGUGGCAAGCGUUAUCCGGAUUUAUUGGGCGUAAAGGGAACGCAGGCGGUUAUACAAGUUAGAAGUGAAAUACCCAGGGCUUAACUCGGGUGCUGCUUCUAAAACGGUAAGACUUGAGUGCAGUAGAGGUUAGUGGAAUGCCUAGUGUAGCGGUGGAAUGCGUAGAUAUUAGGAGGAACACCAGAGGCGAAGGCGGCUAACUGGACUGCAACUGACGCUGAGGCACGAAAGUGUGGGGAGCAAACAGGAUUAGAUACCCGGGUAGUC